rnacentral:rRNA from 1 species
AAUGAACGCUGGCGGCAGGCCUAACACAUGCAAGUCGAACGGCAGCACAGUAAGAGCUUGCUCUUACGGGUGGCGAGUGGCGGACGGGUGAGGUAUACAUCGGAAUCUACUUUUUCGUGGGGGAUAACGUAGGGAAACAUACGCUAAUACCGCAUACGACGUACGGGUGAAAGCAGGAGAUCUUCGCACCUUGCGCGAUUGACUGAGCCGAUGUCGGAUUAGCUAGUUGGCGGGGUAAAGGCCCACCAAGGCGACGAUCCGUAGCUGGUCUGAGAGGAUGAUCAGCCACACUGGAACUGAGACACGGUCCAGACUCCUACGGGAGGCAGCAGUGGGGAAUAUUGGACAAUGGGCGCAAGCCUGAUCCAGCCAUGCCGCGUGGGUGAAGAAGGCCUUCGGGUUGUAAAGCCCUUUUGUUGGGAAAGAAAAGCAGCAGGUUAAUACACGGCGGUUCUGACGGUACCAAAAGAAUAAGCACCGGCUAACUUCGUG